rnacentral:rRNA from 1 species
AUUGAACGCUGGCGGCAGGCUUAACACAUGCCAGUCGAGCGCGCGGCGGACGGGUGAGUAAUGUCUGGGAAACUGCCUGAUGGAGGGGGAUAACUACUGGAAACGGUAGCUAUUACCGCAUACCAUCAGAUGUGCCCAGAUGGGAUUAGCUAGGAGGUUGGGUAAUGGCUCACCUAGGCGACGAGCCCUAGCUGGUCUGAGAGGAUGAACAGCCACCCUGGAACUGAGACACGGUCCAGACUCCUACGGGAUGCAGCGUUGGGGAAUAUUGCACAAUGGGCGCAAGCCUGAUGCGGCCAUGCCGCGUGUGUGAAGAAGGCCUUCGGGUUGUAAAGCACUUUCAGCGAGGAGGCGUUACUCGCAGAAGAAGCACCGGCUAACUCCGUGCCAGCAGCCGCGGUAAUUC